GGGCUUGACAUCCCACGAACCUGCCCGAAAAGGUGGGGUGCCCGCAAGGGAGCGUGGAGACAGGUGGUGCAUGGCUGUCGUCAGCCCGUGUCGUGAGAUGUUGGGUUAAGUCCCGCAACGAGCGCAACCCUCACCCCUAGUUGCCACCGGGUUAAGCCGAGCACUCAAGGGGAACUGCCAGCGUCAAGCUGGAGGAAGGCGGGGAUGACGUCAAGUCAUCAUGCCCCUUACGCCCUGGGCUACACACGUGCUACAAUGGCCAGUACCAAGGGACGCGAGACUGCGAAGUGGAGCUAAUCCCAAAAAGCUGGUCUAAGUUCAGAUUGCAGUCUGCAACUCGACUGCAUGAAGGAGGAAUCGCUAGUAAUCGCGUAUCAGCCCGGCGCGGUGAAUACGUUCCCGAGCCUUGUACACACCGCCCGUCACACCACGAAAGCUGUCUGUACUCGAAGUCGCUGAG
rnacentral:rRNA from 1 species